GCUGUUUGUUGUAUUUGGGGAUUUUAGCUUUUGAAUGUGUAUUAUCUCUGAUUGUUAGGGUUCUAGGUUCUGAUUGUGGUGUUUUUAAGAGACGUUCUUGAGGCACACUAGUCCAAUCAGCCGAUGUUGCUUCUCUGCUUCCGGGAACAAUAUUGCUAGUGCUUCUCUAGAUGGAACUGUUAGUGUCUUGGACAUAAAGUGCAGUCAUGUGGAACCUAUUUUUGUAUCUGCAGCAGCAUCUGGAGGGAUAAAGUAGCACAAUUAUAAGAACAUAUGCAAGACAAUUCUAUAUAUAUGAAUGCAUGGCUCAAUGUGGUUCAGUCAAUUUAACUUUCUUUUGCACUCAUUCCACUUCUUACAUUGGUGUCUAAGGAAGAGGUCAUGGGUACUUUUAGAAUAGGCCUAUUGUAGAGGAAAGCUUUGUUUGCAUUCUAACUUUUGUAGAAUUG